rnacentral:lncRNA from 1 species
AAAUAAUUUUAUGGAAAAAUUUCUAGAAAAUUGACUCCUUAAAAAUUGCAACCAGGGGCUUCCUAAAAGAGAUUAAACUGAAAUUUACCUUUGGGGCAGACUGUUCCUGCUUGACUGGGUCCUUACCAUUAACUAGAUGGCAAUUGAACUUGCUUGUUGUGCAAGGACCCUGUCUCCACCAGUUUUUUUAUGGUGCUGAUAGAAGGUGGCACAAAGUGGGAAGGAAUGAUUCCCGGCCCCACAUGGAUUGAGGGUGUUUCUAGGAGCUGGAAAGCUCACGACAGCAUUGUGCAGGAAGGACACAGAGACAGAAUCGCUGCACCAAGCUGGAGGAGAGAAUGGCACCAGAACGAGCUCUGGCCCAGCGCUCUGUGGAGUGGACCUAUGAGGCCCACUGUAGGAGCAUGGUCCCACCAAUUCAGAUGGCUGCAGGGGCUGGGAAGGCGAUACACAGGACUAAAAGAGACCAUGGGCAUCUGGCAAAUAGGAAAACAUGGGCUCCAUUUAGAGGAAGGAGCUGUGUCUUAAGCCAUUUUGUGUUACUGUAAAGGAAUACCUGAGGCUGGGCAAUUUUUAUAUAUAUAUAUAUAUAUAUA